rnacentral:rRNA from 1 species
GACGUAGGGCGCGAGCGUUGUCCGGAUUUAUUGGGCGUAAAGAGCUCGUAGGCGGUUUGUCGCGUCGGCCGUGAAAACUUGGGGCUCAACCCCAAGCCUGCGGUCGAUACGGGCAGGCUCGAGUUCGGUAGGGGAGACUGGAAUUCCUGGUGUAGCGGUGAAAUGCGUAGAGAUCGGGGGGAACACCCGUGGCGAAGGCGGCCAGCUGGGCCGACCCUGACACUGAGGCGCGAAGGCGUGGGGAGCGAACGGG